rnacentral:misc_RNA from 1 species
CAGAGUUCGUGCCCUCACGGGUAGAUCUCCCACCCUGUGUUAUUAUACCUUUGUUGCUUUGGCGGGCCGCCCUCGGCUACCGGCCCCGGCUGGUACGCGCCCGCCAGAGGACCCAAAACUCUGUCUGUCUGUGUCGUCUGAGUACUAUAUAAUAGUUA